AUUGAACGCUGGCGGCAGGCCUAACACAUGCAAGUCGAACGAGUGGCGGACGUGUGAGUAAUGUCUGGGAAACUGCCCGAUGGAGGGGGAUAACUACUGGAAACGGUAGCUAAUACCGCAUACCAUCGGAUGUGCCCAGAUGGGGUUAGCUAGUUGGUGGGGUAACGGCUCACCUCGGCGACGAUCCCUAGCUGGUCUGAGAGGCUGACCAGACAAAUUGGAAUGGAGAACCGCUCCAGACUCCUACGGUAGGAGACAGUGGGUAAUAUGGCACAAUGGGCGUAAGCCUGAUGCAGAAAGGCCGCGUGUAUGAAGAAGGCCUGCGGGUUGUAAAGUACUUGCAGCGAGGAGGCGUUACUCGCAGAAGAAGCACCGGCUAACUCCGUGCCAGCAGCCGCGGUAAUAC
rnacentral:rRNA from 1 species